rnacentral:misc_RNA from 1 species
AAUGUUUUGUGUCAUUAGGAGGAUGGAGAAAUUUUAAGGGGGGUGAACUUUGAAAACCAAAAGGGUGUUAAAUGUUAUAGGGGUGUCCACGGUCUGGUUUCGAACUGGAACCGAAUUGGAAUUAGUUCGGUCAAAAUCAUAUCGAAACCAAUCAAAAUCAAAACCGGCUUCGAAUUGGACUGAAACCACCCUUCUGCAGUUUGUUUUAGGUUCAUAUUUUUCAGGAACUGUGAACCAGCAGUUUCGAAUUGGAUUAAACUGACUAGUUUUGAACAAG